rnacentral:rRNA from 1 species
AGCGAACGUUAGCGGCGGGCCUAACACAUGCAAGUCGAACGCGAAAGGUCUUCGGACUGAGUAGAGUGGCGCACGGGUGAGUAACACGUAGGUAAUCUACCCUUUGGCGGGGAUAACGUUCCGAAAGGAGCGCUAAUACCGCAUAAGACCACGGAGUCUCCGGACGCUGUGGGAAAAGGUGGCCUCUUCUUGAAAGCUACCACCGAAGGAUGAGCCUGCGUCCCAUCAGCUAGUUGGUAAGGUAAUGGCUUACCAAGGCGAAGACGGGUAGCUGGUUUGAGAGAAUGAUCAGCCACACUGGCACUGGAACACGGGCCAGACUCCUACGGGAGGCAGCAGUGAGGAAUAUUGGGCAAUGGGCGAAAGCCUGACCCAGCCACGCCGCGUGAGCGAUGAAGGCCUUAGGGUUGUAAAGCUCUUUCAGGGGGGAAGAUAAUGACUGUACCCCCAGAAGAAGCCCCGGCUAACUCCGUGCCAGCAGCCGCGGUAAAGUCUGUACU